GGAGCAGGAGGGUCUGUCUGCUUUAGGGAAUAUACUGUGUUAGUUUUCUAUUGCUGCAUAGCAAAUGACCCCAAAACUGAGACGCUUAAAACAGUCAACAUGUGUUAUCGUAUAGUUUUCAUGGGUCAGGAACACAGUUGUAACUUAGCAGUCCUCUGGCUCAGGGUCUCACAGGCUGUAAUCAAGGUGUCAGCCAGGACCAAAGGCAACUCAAAGUUCUACCAAAGGAGGGUGAACUUCCAGGUUCACUCCUGUGGCUGCUGGCUGGAGACAUCAGUUCCUUGCCACAUAGGCCUCUCCACGGGGCAGGUCCCAACAUGGCAGUUGGCUUAGAGAGAGACUUUUUGUAACCCAAUCUUGGAAGUGACAUCCCAUCACUUUUGCUGUAUUCAAUUUGUUUAAAGCCAAGCACCAGGUCCAUCCAGCCCACGCUGAAGAAGAGGUUACAUGAGACAGAGAAUACCAGGAAGUGAUGAUUACUGGGGGCUGUUUUAGAGGCUGCCUACGGCAUAUACCAAGAGCUAUUUAUGGCCUCAUUGCAGCAUUAUCCCACUCUGCAUAAAUUAUAGAGAAAGACAUAUAAUUUUAUUGCAUAUUAGUUUUUGUUGAUGGGUACAUUCUGGUCCCUAGGAGCCCUGAAGAACAAUGUGCUUCAUUUCACAGCUCUCCCUAAGGAUUUUAUACAACCCACUUGGCACUCACACUGUUAUUAUUAAAUGGAUUCAGCCAAAAGCUGCCUGUGGGGGUAGAGAUCGGUGGGAAGGUAGGGCGGCAGAGAAAGGAAGUGCUCAGGACCCCAAAUUGAAUAAAGAAAAAGGUCACACGCCAACUGCAAGUUAGAAAUGAAUCUGAGUGAAAGUAAGUAUCCUGGUUGACAGCUCACACAUGAUGCCAACUUGCCACAGCUUGGCAGCGCCUUUGGUUUUCCCACAUGCAACUGAAAAUAGCUAGCAUUCAUCCUGAGAGAGUGCUACUAAAAUAAGUAACUACUUGGAGCUAUACCUCACUGCUCAUUCAAGCUGGAAGCUGUGUGCAAUUAUUUUGCUGAAAUUAGAUACAAAUUAAGUUGCCACUUCCGGAACUCUUUCUCCUGUGCUAUAUUACAAAAAAGAAAGUGAUUUUUGAACUCGGAUAGCUUAGAUGUUGCUUCUUAAAAAUAAAUGUAAUCUCUUGACAGAAUAUCUAAAAAGACAGAUUAUUGAUUUUAAUCUCUCAGGAGACCUAACCUCUUCACGAUCCAGGUUUCCUGAUUUUCAGACCUGAGUUAAGUUGCUAUGGAUACAGAGUGACAGGCCAGUGAAGGAAACUGGGGACAGGGAGUGGCCUGCCCACAGUGUCUCCUUUUCCAGACUUCUUAGAGGACUUGGAAAGAAAAUGAAAUGACGUUGAACGAAAUCAAAGUAAAUUGAGUGAUCUGAAACGAUUUGAUGUCAGCAAGAAUUCCCCAUACAGCUCACAGCCCUACCCCGAGCACGCCUCCCUCUUGGGUAUGCUCUCUGCAGGCCCAAACCUUGCAGAAGCCAUUCCAUGUUUCCUGAGCAGGAAAAGACAAACUCAGACCGACAACCUUGGACUUCAAAAGACUGCACACAAGGGGAGGAAGGACUGAGAGUACCAAGGCGUGAGAAUUCAGAAUGCUGCUAUCUCAUUUAUUUUUACCAUUUAGGAAACGUUUUGAUCUGCAUUCCUUUUCCCUUCCCUGAUUUCAAAAAAUAAAAAUAAAAAUGCU
rnacentral:lncRNA from 1 species